UACGGGGGGGGCAAGCGUUGUUCGGAAUUACUGGGCGUAAAGGGCGCGUAGGCGGCCACCGCAAGUCGACUGUGAAAUCUCCGGGCUUAACCCGGAAAGGUCAGCCGAUACUGCGGGGCUAGAGUGCAGAAGGGGCAACUGGAAUUCUCGGUGUAGCGGUGAAAUGCGUAGAUAUCGAGAGGAACACCUGCGGCGAAGGCGGGUUGCUGGGCUGACACUGACGCUGAUGUGCGAAAGCUAGGGGAGCGAACGGG
rnacentral:rRNA from 1 species